UACAGAGGGGGCAAGCGUUGUUCGGAAUUACUGGGCGUAAAGAGCGCGUAGGCGGCCCGCUAAGUCGAACGUGAAAUCCCCGAGCUCAACUCGGGAACUGCGUCCGAUACUGGCGGGCUUGAAUCCGGGAGAGGGAUGCGGAAUUCCAGGUGUAGCGGUGAAAUGCGUAGAUAUCUGGAGGAACACCGGUGGCGAAGGCGGCAUCCUGGACCGGCAUUGACGCUGAGGCGCGAAAGCUAGGGGAGCAAACGGG
rnacentral:rRNA from 1 species